ACGCCUGUAGCUCAAAAGGAAAGAGCAGCUCCCUACUAAGUUGCAGAUCUCGGUUCGAUUCCGAGCGGGCGUA
rnacentral:tRNA from 1 species